rnacentral:rRNA from 1 species
CUUGCUCUCUGGGUGGCGAGUGGCGGACGGGUGAGGAAUACAUCGGAAUCUACUUUUUCGUGGGGGAUAACGUAGGGAAACUUACGCUAAUACCGCAUACGACCUACGGGUGAAAGCAGGGGAUCUUCGGACCUUGCGCGAUUGAAUGAGCCGAUGUCGGAUUAGCUAGUUGGCGGGGUAAAGGCCCACCAAGGCGACGAUCCGUAGCUGGUCUGAGAGGAUGAUCAGCCACACUGGAACUGAGACACGGUCCAGACUCCUACGGGAGGCAGCAGUGGGGAAUAUUGGACAAUGGGCGCAAGCCUGAUCCAGCCAUACCGCGUGGGUGAAGAAGGCCUUCGGGUUGUAAAGCCCUUUUGUUGGGAAAGAAAUCCAGCUGGUUAAUACCCGGUUGGGAUGACGGUACCCAAAGAAUAAGCACCGGCUAACUUCGUGCCAGCAGCCGCGGUAAUACGAAGGGUGCAAGCGUUACUCGGAAUUACUGGGCGUAAAGCGUGCGUAGGUGGUCGUUUAAGUCCGUUGUGAAAGCCCUGGGCUCAACCUGGGAACUGCAGU